rnacentral:rRNA from 1 species
GAUAUGGAGGAGGAAAAGUACUUAUAUUUAGAAUCAUUAAAUCUUUUCCUCCUCCACUAAAGACCCCGGUAGUCCUAGCCGUAAACGCUGCAUACUAGGUGUUGUGCUUUCUUCGAGAAUGUACAGUGCCGAAGCGAAGGCGUUAAGUAUGCCGCCUGGGAAGUACGGUCGCAAGGCUGAAACUUAAAGGAAUAGGCGGGGGAGCACAACAAGGGGUGAAGCCUGCGGUUCAAUUGGAUUCGACGCCGUGAAUCUCACCGGGACCGACAGCACAAUGAAGGUCAGUCUGAAGGGCUUACCUGAGGCGCUGAGAGGUGGUGCAUGGCCAUCGUCAGCUCGUGUCGUGAAACCUUUCUUGGAAAGAAAGCUUUACCAAAGAAGGUUCGAUAAAGAUGUCCUCUUAAGUGAGGCAACGAGCGAGACCCUCGCUGCUAGUUGCUAUUUCCCAUCUUCGGAUUGGAAAGCACACUAGUGGGACUGCCUGCGUAAGCAGGAGGAAGGAGAGGGCGACGUUAGGUCAGUAUGCCCCGAAUGCCCCGGGCUACACGCGGGCUGCAAUGCCUUGGACAAUGGGCUGCGACGCCGAAAGGCGGAGCCAAUCUCCAAACCAAGGCUCAGUUCGGAUCGAGGAUUGCAACUCAUCCUCGUGAAGCCGGAAUCCCUA